UUAGCAGGUCAUGACAUGGGACAUGAGUCGAAAAGGAUGCAUAUUGAGAAAGAUGAGACCCCACUUUCUACACCAACCGCAAGAGACAGCCUUGACAAACUUUCUCUAACUGGGCAUGGACAACCACUACCUCCAGGGUUUCCAUCUCCUUUUCUGUUUCCUGAUGGAUUGUCUUCCAUAGAGACCCUUCUGACUAAUAUACAGGGGCUCUUAAAAGUUGCCAUAGAUAAUGCCAGAGCUCAAGAAAAACAGGUUCAACUGGAAAAAACAGAGCUGAAGAUGGAUUUUUUAAGAGAAAGAGAACUAAGGGAAACACUUGAGAAGCAGCUGGCUAUGGAACAAAAGAACAGAGCCAUUGUUCAAAAGAGACUAAAGAAGGAGAAGAAGGCAAAGAGAAAAUUGCAGGAAGCACUUGAAUUUGAGACAAAACGGCGUGAGCAAGCAGAGCAGACACUAAAACAGGCAGCUUCAACAGACAGUCUCAGGGUCUUAAAUGACUCUCUGACCCCAGAGAUAGAAGCUGACCGCAGUGGCGGCAGAACAGAUGCUGAAAGGACAAUACAAGAUGGAAGACUGUAUUUGAAAACUACUGUCAUGUAUUGAAUCUUCACUGUUGAAGAAUUCCUUGUUAUAGUAAAGAACUUUGCAGUCAGACAUUCGUCAUUGGAAAGUUCAGAAAAAAUAAAGUCCUUUUAAGGGAACUUCCUCAAUUUUGUGUAUUAAUGUUCUUUAACAUUUAAGUAUUCUACAAAACCCAGUUUUCUCCAUUGAUUUUCACCUGUGGUUCAUACCAGAGACUUGAGAAUGUUUGUAAAUGUACAAGUAUCAAUCUUCUUACAGUGAAUAACUGCAACUUUGCUGCUGGACACUUGUAUACAAGAAUUAAAGGCAGGUCUGAAUAAGACCUAGCUUUUUUUUUGCUUUUUUUUUUUAAUAGAAUGAACCAUUUUCCUCUUCUGAAAAUUCUGUAUCUGAGCACAUCAAAAGACUCUUGUAGCAAUGGUCACCCAGACUUACAGAAUUAUGUCCCCCCCCAAAACCAGCAAGAACACAUGGAAAUGAACUUGUAAGGGGCCUAGAGGAUUCUGGAAAAAAAAAACUAAUAUUCUGUUACAUCUCUAAUUGUAGGUUUUCUCCUGAAGAUUUUUUUUCCAUAUACUUUCCAAAAGACCAACAAAUGGAUGUUGACAACAACCCAAUAAAUAACAUUUUGCAUAUCUGAAAAGAAGCAUUAAAUAUAAGCCAAAAGGUUUCACUGAAGGUCUCUUUUUCUUAAAAAUAAAAAACAAGAAAUAUAUAUAAAUAUAUAUAUAUAAAUGUAACAUGUUUUCAUUCCAAACUGGUAGUGGUAUAUAGAAUCAGAAAUAAUAAUGUUGCUUCUUAUUCAAACUGUUGGUCACAUGUACAGUAUAUAAACAUAAAACACACAGGAAGGUAUUAUGUAUGCAGUAGUAUACUAGAAUUUAGGAAAAUGAAAAUUUUAGAAAAUAUGUUUUGUCACCCUGUUGGUCAGAAAGAUGUCUUUCUGGUUUUAACGCAUGCAGGCAUGUAAAUAUUUGUCUGGAGUCACAGUAUUAAUGAAUGAGAUCUUAAGCAUCUGGUGACAUCAGAACUCUGUGUCAGCCACUUUUAUUUGUAUAUUGAUCCCUUGUUAGUGCCCCAAACUGCACUAUUGAGAAUGGAUUUGUGGCUGAACAGUAAAAUCAAAACACCAGAAAUAUUUUUAUAUGUUAAUGCCAUAUUAUGUUAAUGUUGCUGAAAAACAAAACCUAACAAACCCUUGAUGUACCAGUCCAAUACCAUGUAGCCCUGAGUGAUAAAGUUAAAAUGUGUUGUGCUUCCCACCCUGGACAGAGGGAAGGGUGGCUACUUGUUAAUUUCACUGUCUUUUUGAAAGUUACAGUAUGUGUUUUCACUUUUGUGCAGAUAACUGGAAGUAAAGCUGCAAACAGUGCUUAUUACAUGCUAAAGUUACCUUUUCUUUGUUUUUAUAUAUCUGGAGUUACACCUUUAAAGACUGAUAUAAAUUAGUACUCUCACUGUACAUUUUAUGAUUUUUCUGUCAUCUUAAAAUUUUAUGAUUAUAACAUUAUUUAUUACCAUAAAACAGCAAAAUCUUAAGUGACUAAGAAAACUAGCAUAAAAUGUUUAAAGGUAGUUCUGAUUGGGUAAUAAUUAUUCGGUUAAGAGAAAAAUUAACAUUAUAGAUACUCUGGCACUAAGCUUCUAUACUUUUUAGGUCUUCCUUGUAUUGCUGGAACAUAAUUCUUUUAUGUAACUCGCUAUUUACCAGCUAAGACCAUUUUUUUUAAUACAAUAAAAAGGUUAUAUGUACAGUUCCUAUUUUAGCUUGCUUAAAAAGGGAGCAAUAUUUUUAUUUAAAAUAUUGUUAGUAAAUGCUUUAUAGAAACUUGGUUUUCUAAGCAUAGUUCUUCCAUAACCAUCUUUCGUUGUUUGAGCACAAGAGAUUCUAUUUCUAGUCACAUGGAAUUUUGUUUGUUUUUCCCUAUAUGCAGUUUUUAAAGGAUUACAGCAUUUGAAAUUGGAGACACUUGUGGCAAGCUUUUGAAUCAUACAUUUUUUGAAAGAUUUUUUUAAAAAGCUACAAUUUACCUAUGUAGUAGAUUCAGUCAUUGCUCUGCUCCUGGCAUAGAGUCAUUUGUUAAGUGUGCUUGAAAGUCUUAAAAUACAUGCUUUCAAGACCCUCUGAGAAUGCUUUAGUGUUUGGUUCAAAAUAAAAGGAAAUUCUAGUAAGGAUUAAAGAAAAAAAAAUCUAUCAGCUGUAUGUUAAGAGAGACUCUUACUAACAUGUUGUAAAUAUUACAAUUCAUGAAAUGUUAUUGUAAGUCUGUAACUUAAUUUUCCCCCUUUUUUAGUUAAACAGGUUGGUUUAGAAAUUUGUGUUUUGGCAUAAACAAGUAAAAUUGUGCCCAUUUUAUUGUUUCCCUGCUUUUGUAAUCUUACAAAUAUUAAUGUCUAGUUGUUCUAUAUUAUAACCACAUUUGCGCUCUAUGCAAGCCCUCGGAACAGAACAUACUCAUCUUCAUGUAGGACCUAUGAAAAUUGUCUAUUUUUAUCUAUAUAUUUAAAGUUUUCUAAAAAUGAUAAAAGGUUAUUACGAAUUUUGUUGUACAAAACCUGUACAAAAAUCUGUUUUUACAUCAUGAUGCAAGAAUUGGAAAUUUUUCUAUGGUAGCCUAGUUAUUUGAGCCUGGUUUCAAUGUGAGAACCACGUUUACUGUUAUUGUAUUUAAUUUUCUUUUUCUUUUCAACAAUCUCCUAAUAAAAAUGUCUGAAAUCUCCUUGUGACUUUAUUUACAGUUCGUCUUUAUUACAUUUUGUGAAAUGCAUAGCAUUGAAGGAAUAUUUACUUUCUAAUGGGAGGCAUCUAAAAACAACAUAAGUCAGCUCUUUGCAAUUCAAAGGGAACAAUGCUCAAUGAUUUUAUUUAACAUGCAACUGCUUCUAUCUCUAAUAUGAAUUACUGUGGUGAAAAACAUCAUAAAAGCACACUCUGUAGUUAUUGUUUAACAAGCAGAUUUUCCAUAUUUUGUUUCUUGCUAGCUAAGCAAACUGCCCACAUAUACAUGAUUUAUUUAUGUACAUUUCUCAGUUUAUGAAGCUGUUAUUUGUACCUUUUUCCUUUAUAUUCUUAUAUUCCCAUGAUUCUUAUUUCACAAAGCUUUGUGCUGAAUACUGUAAAGUAGACAUGUUGAUGGAACAAAAUAUAUUAUUCCCAUAUCUAUAUGAGUGUGGAUUUGUAACUCUUAACUCAGUGUUUCUCUUUCAGUUCUAUCAAUGCGAAAAUGCCUUUAGUAACUUUGAAAUUACAAUAUCCUUUAAUAAUAUACAAACAUUUUAAUCAAUCUCAAGUGCCGCAUUUGAAGAAAUAUUAGGUUGCUACCUUUGUGAAUAUUCUAAACAGUCUUAAGAGAAUGGAAAAUGGAUUUUUUUUUCUGUCUGAGUUAUUUCAAUGAAUUCUUGAAACAGUAUAUGAACAAAUUAUGAUUUUUCUUUAAUAAAAACCUAAAAUGUGUAUGUAACCAUUAUGAACAC
rnacentral:lncRNA from 1 species